GUCAAUACAGAAAUAGCGGCAUUAGACAGCACUGCACCUUCAGGACUUUCCAAGUUAGUUUAUGUCCUCAUAAGUAAGCAUCUCAGUUUCUUUGGCCAGCAUGGAUUUUGACCAAACAAAUUUAAUCGCAAAAAGGUAGGUAGGUAGGUCAGCCAGAGAGAUUGGUGUGUAGUCCCAAAUAUCAAGCGGCACAAAUACUCCAGUAUGGUCUCUAUAAUCAUACAAACACAAGGAUCAGUACGACAUCGAUAAAUUAAUUAUCUAGGCUAAACUCAAAUUAGAGACUAAAGUUAAACCCUUAACUAGUGUAACAUGUACUUAUCUCAGUGUUGCUUAUAUUUCAUUGAAUUUGUCCUUUAUAAAAUUUUAAUACAUAAUAUCCCUUUAGAAUGCCUUUGUAUGGAUGAGAUAAGCACUCAUUCUAUAUAAAUGCUUGCUGAGUACUAAAACACUAACAUAUACAUAUUGGAAUAAUUUCCAAUAAAAUGCUGUUCUUAAACUUAAACCUUGAUUUGAUAAUCUCAAUUAUUUACUUUAAUAAAAUUGGAAUGCUAAAGUCUAAAAAUUUUGUGGACCCCAAUAAGUUUUCUUUGAAACUGAAACCUUUUAUAGAUCCCUAUGUCCAAAAAGCCAACAGUUC